CUAGCUGUAAACUUUGGAUACUGGGUAUUGGGGGGGUAAGACCCCUGAGUGCCGAAGCAAACGCGUUAAGUAUCCCGCCUGGGGACUACGGCCGCAAGGUUAAAACUCAAAGGAAUUGACGGGGACCCGCACAAGCAGCGGAGCGUGUGGUUUAAUUCGAUGCAACACGAAGAACCUUACCUGGGUUUGACAUAUACGUAGUAGGGAAGCGAAAGCGGACCGACCCUUCGGGGAGCGUAUACAGGUGC
rnacentral:rRNA from 1 species